UGUUGGAACUAUUUUUCGAACAUUAUGAAUAAUGUAUUCAUAUGUCGAAAAAGAAGUUUUAUUUGAAUGAGAAAUGGAGGUCUAAUGUGUGUUAUUUGAGAAACUUGUGUAAAGUAGCAAAUACACACAUUGAAUAUUUAAACUUGGAUUUGAGUUUUUGAUUUGUUAGUUGGAUUUCAUGUUCAUUAACUUAAUCUUAUAAACCAAAUAUAUGUUGA
rnacentral:lncRNA from 1 species